CUGACUUAUCUGAAACAAUGUUAAAUGUGACAGGCACAGCGAAAAGCUAUUGUUGAUAUAGGCUGACAUCUGGUUCUGUGACAUAACUUUCCUUUUUUUCUGAACAUAUUGAGAGAUUUGUCAAGUUAUGUAAUCGCUGGUAGUUAUUUAAAUUUUACAAAAUAACAAUUUCGGUAACUAAACUUAAGGAUUAUAUAUCCAUAUGUAAUAAGAGGAUUUAUAACAUGACAGUUAGUUGCCAAUUAUAUCUAGCAGACGACACUUGCUGCUUCUACCAGAUGAAGUCAGUGGCGGAAGAAGGGACCCGAUGCUUGGAGUAACUUUGCAGUAUAAAAAUUUGCACUGUUCGAUUGGUCAAGAUAGAGAGGUUUUAGUGGAAGUCAGCCCUUGAUGGACAUGUCGUCUGUAUUUGCCCUGUCCUGUGCGGACAGAGAGCUCUUCCACACCUCGUGCACUUAUCAGAAUCCGCGAGAUAGGCGACGAAUUUAUUCAGGUUUAAAACGACAGGAAGACAGUGUUUUACAUUGUUGAAAGACAAAGAAAAAGAAUCGAUUCCAGAACGUGCCGUCCUGUGUUUGUUGUUUUCGACAGUUGAGGGGAGAGUCCGGUGCAUGCCAGAUACUAUCUAUUGAUUUCAAACACUCUAGUGAGAAAUAUAUGCAGAAGAAAGAACCAAGUAUGGUAAAUCCACGACAGACCUGGCACAAGCAUAUAGCAUGACACCACUACAGCCGCCAUGAUAAAAGCAUAGUGAAACAAAUUAGACAUAAGCUAACAUGUAUAUAAUUAUACCCCAACGUACAAAGUAUAUUGGGCUAAAGUUUCAUGAUAAGCUUCUCAGUUUCACAAUAUAACCUCACAUAAGGAUUGAUCUUAGAACGUGGCAGAAAUCUUUUUGUUUAGGGUCACGUUGCUUAAAGGUCAAGGUUACUGGGAUCAGAUGUUGUAACAGUGUUGGUUAAAGUCUUAUGGCACAUUUCUCAAUUUGACUUAUAUCUCAACGUUUCUUAGAACUGGUAUCCCUCAUGUCAUAUCCUUUUUAGCUAUACCCACACUUCAUCUACGUUCCUCCCGACACCCACCCAAAAAUGCGUUCCAUACAAAAACUUAUAUUUCAUGUUUCCAUCAACUUCCCUACUCCGCUGUCUUCACCUACAUCAUCCACCCCAUUUCACUGAACCUUUACCUUCGUCCCUAACCCCGCCCCCUCCAUAAAAAGGAUAAAAACUCCUUUUCGAUCUCCCACACUUACUUAUAAUAAUAACAAUAUCUUGUUAAACAUUUUCCUUAUAGCCGAGCAGACACAAUUAACUCAGAUCACUAGGUCCACGGUCAAGGUUACACCUAAAAAUCAAAAGUCAUGAUGGCAACAUUUUACUUUCCCUUUAUCAAAGUGAG